rnacentral:lncRNA from 1 species
UGGGAUCAAAGGAAGGUAUUGCAGUUAGCCCUUGAAGACUAGUUUUGUCGACAAGCUGAGUAAUGGACUGAUCUGCUACAGGAACCUGGUGACGAAAUUGCUGUUGUUGUCUCUGAAUAGCAAGCAUCGCCUGCAUUUGCUGUCUGCGCCUAAGUUUUUCUAGUUUUUCCUGCGGCGUCAUUGUUGAAGGUCGUGCACAGACAUCUGUUACCGUGUUUGCAGAGAUAGCAGAAGCAGGGUUGUAGGAAGGAUGCAUCAGCUGAUUCUUGUUAACAUCAGGACAUUGGAAGGCUGAAACUACAUGCACAGCAGAAUAUGGAUUACCAAAACCAGAAGUAGCCAUGUAUUGGUUUGGCAUAUGUGGAUAAUGUGAUGUCCCAGACCCUUGAGACUCACUCCGCAGAUUGACACCCAUCAAAGUUGAUCGUGACGGUGCCAACUGGUUUACAAAUUUUCUCCUUGACCUCUGACCGUAUGGAUCUUGAAACGAUCCUGCCUCACAAGUCCCCAACAUUUCCGAAAGCUUCAUCAUUUUGUGUUGUUGAUAUGGCUGAACAGAAAGGAAAAUGAAAAGAGGUAAGACUUAAUGGAACUGUAAAAAUCACUAUGCAUAAAUAAGAAUCUAAGGGCAUCCGCAUUUGUGAGUUUCUCACCAAUUAUAUUAAUAUUUAAUUGGGGAGCCUCGUUGAAAAGCUGAGAGACUCAUGUGAAAGUCUCUCAUUACUAUGCAAUGAAUCUCUCAGUUUUUUCUACGAUACUCUCUAAUUAAAUAUUAAUAUAAUUAGUGAGAGACUCACUAAUACAGAUGGCCUUAAAAACAAACCGCAUUGAUGGAAACUAUGCAACAAUACUUUCUUUGAUUCAAUUUAUUAUAAACGUGUGGGCAAUAUCUCGAAGUCUGCAGUGCAUAGUACCUGGUCAUCAACUGAGGAUUGACUCUUAUGCUCAUGAUAUUCCUCAGCUUUUGGGGUUACACGAACUCUAGGCGCACUUUGGGAUGAUGGACCACCAUUGGUUUCUCCAGUCAAUGGAAACUGCUGGUUCUCUUGUUGCUCAAACUGAGUUCUAAUGUCCAAUCCUAGAUCUUGAGAGUCCAAAAUGGAUGGUAACGGCUUGGAUACAUCUUUAGAAGAAGACCAUAAUUCAUCUGCACCGCUGAGACUGCCAUCGCCAAAUAUAGGGACAUCACUACUGCAAAAUCACCACUUGUGAGGAUAUUGUGUUAGACAGAGAACCCAUUAGUAGGCAAUCCAGAGGUUGGUUACGCUGCAUAGCUCAAGCAGGAUGAGAAAAAGACAUACCUGAACAUUCGAUCAAGAUCAUCAAAGCUACCAAUGUUAGCCCAUCCAUACUCAUCAAAAUCACCAUGCUCUUUACUCUCAUCAGUGCUAUGAAAAAUAUCAGGGCCUUUCCCAAGUUCAGACGUUUUCUCUGGUAAAAAACAAGGCGACCACACACACAACUUUAAACAUGAUUAGAAUUUUCAAGAAACGUACCCAAGUAAAACAGCACUGUUUCAAGAAACGCACCACUUCUUGUUGAAUCAUAUCUAGCUGGCUCACUCGAACCUGGUCCUGGAUCAGCUUUUCUAGCAUUAGAUACUGAUGAGUCAGGCCAUGAGCUCAUACACUCAAUAUUUUGCCCUGAACUGCUCCCCCCCAGCUUACUAUCAUGAAGGUGAGUUGUCUUCUGCUCAGCUGGCUUAACUGCCUUAUUAGAUUCAUCGCCCUGUUCCUUCCUGUUUCUUACUUUAAAAGGCACAAUAUGGUCGCCUGUCUCUCCGUCGUCACCCCAUAUCAUAUUAGUAAGCUGAAAAAAACAGGUUAAACAACAAGGGAUCAGAGACAAGCAAGUAAUGACAUCUACAUGAAUGUAGAACAUGACGUAAGAACUCGAGACCAAGCUCAGAUAACUUGUAAAAAUUCAGAUCCUCCUUAUUCAAAGCCUAAACCUUGCUCUUGUCUGUGAAAUGGGGAUAUAAGGCUACAUAGCCAUGAAAGGUUUCAUCUACAUGCGACCAAAACUAAAACAGAGAGGAGAAGCGUGAAAAUAGAAUUUACCUCUUCGUCGUCCCAAUCAAACAUGACUAGAGAAACAGAGUCCAAUCACAGACCCCAAAUCACUCUCCUCUCUGAUUCCUCCACACAUCGCCCACUCCACCACGAUAAGAAAAAAAAAAUACCCACAAAAGAAAAAGUCGCUUAACGUAAUUCUCAAGAGUUAAAAACCGAUAAAAAAAUUAAUUAAAAUAAAAAAUUAAACCGAAAAAGAGUAAGCCUGCAAAAACCUGGAUUCAGAAUCCUUCAUGCUGUUGCUUCAUCUGGAUAAUGGGAAAAAAAAAAGGAGAGUUACUACAGAACAUGUUUGGGAAAGUGGGGCCCAUUUAGGAAGUGUCACGUGCCGAACGAGUGGCUGAGAGAGUAUGGACGGAGUUAGGAUGCCACGUCACACGAGAGUGCGUAUCUAAACAUGUGGCUGAGAGUGUGUGUCAAUAACUACGACAUUUCCACUACCCAGCUCACCACCUCUCAUUUUGACUUUCACUUGCUGAGAGCUGUUUUAUUUUCCCCGCUUUCAAAAAUAAUAAUAAUUAGAGAUACACACAAACUUAUACUAUUAUCUACUCUUAUAUUUUUCUUUAGUUUUUUAAACAAUAUAUUUUUCGUUAGUUAGUAAAUAAAAUAGUUUCGGAACUUUUAUUUGAAAGGCUGGAACCAGGGAGAUUUGGUGGGGUAGGAGUUAAUAGAGACCACUAGUAGGGGGAGGGGAGAGACUCACAGAGUGUGGAGUGUUAUACUGUUGGCCAAGCGCAUCACCACCUUUCACCAUCUGAACACCAGGCGUUGCAUGAAUCAUAGACGGAUUCACAUACCCGCAUUUCCAAGACGCUGGAUUAACGGAGAUGAAUCCCAUCACGAAAUCUGAAUGAGCCUCUGCGAUCUUCACGGCUGCUGCAGUGUAGUCUCCUGUAGCAAGGUUACCAGCAGAGCUCAUCUCAGCUAGCAAAAGCAGACCCUUACCACGAGGCAAACCCUGAAACCACAGGAUGACCUCAAAAUGUAAGUAAAAACGAAAGGAUCAAUGAGAAUCCGGUAACAAAUGAUUACAAAUAUACCUUCAACUUCAGGCCAUCAACGAUUCCUGGUCCUGAUACUAUGUGAGCGUUAAUGAUAUCAGCCCACUCUAAUAUUUUAAAGACGCCUCUGCAAACAAACCGCGGCAGAAAAAACUUUAUGAAAGUUUUUAUAACAGAUAUCAAUGGAGAACAAUGAGUGAACACAACGUAGAAAACUGACCCUUCAUACUGCAUUGUUACGGUGUUACCAAUGUCUGCAAACUUACGAUCCUCAAAUAUGAGAAACUUGUGCUUGUCUGCGAUCUGAAGUAACAUCAACAAUCGAUCAACAACAGCCAAAUCAUAGCUAGUUGGAUGAUCUAGGGGAACUUAAAGAACUUCAGUAUUACUAUAGCAUACGACUUAUGUUUCUAUCGUAGAGAGAUUACAUCGGACUACUGUUUUAAGUAGUACUAUCCCUCAUAUAACUUCACUAUAGCAUAUGACUCAUGCUUCUAUCGUAGAUAGAUACAACAUGAACAUACUUUGUGCAAACAAACCUAUCAAAUAAUCAAGAUGCAACUAAACUUACCGCACGGAGUUUAGAGCCAAAGUCAGAGGUGAAAUCAGGCAAAAUGUCAACAUGAGUCUUCAACAUACAUAUCUCUGGUCCCACCUUCAUCAACACAAACAUUUCAAAGAUCAUUAACACAUAAACCAUAUGAUGCACAUUCAGAUAAAAAGAGUCAAAAGAAGAGAGAUUCUUUACCUUGUCUGCAAUGUCAAGCAACUCAGCAGCAGUUCCAACAUCAGCAGCUAAGCAGAGAUUAGUCUCUUUCUUCACCAUAACCUCAAACAGCUUCUUCCCCAUGGGAUUCCUACAAAGCUCCGACCUUUCCUUAAACCCUAAAACCCUAUCCUCACCCUUCACCUUCUCCACACUCGGCACACUAACCCUACGAUUCUCUUCCAAAAACCUAAUCAAACUCGCCUCAACCCCCUCUUGAAUCUUCCCCUUCUCCCUCAAAACCCUAACCAUAUCCGUCAACCUAAUCAUCGAAUGAAGCCUAAUCCCAUUCUCCUCCAGAUUCUCCCUCCCGCCCUGCUGCCUAUCGAUCAACACCACCGCGUCGCUAACCCUAAGCCCAACCCCGCGAAGAGGCGCCGCCGUCUCCAGCACGGACCCCCCGCUCGUCACCAAAUCCUCGAUAAUGAGGCAAGUCUGAUCCUUCUCGAAGACUCCUUCGAUGGCUUUGGAAGUGCCGUAGUCUUUGAUCUCCUUGCGGCGCAUGAGCAUGGGGAUGUUGUUGGAGACGGAGACGACGGUGGCGAUGGGGAGGGCGGUGUAGGGGACGCCGCAGACGACGUCGAAGGAGGUGGUGGGAGGGAGGGAGGAGAUUAGGGUUUGGGAGAUUUGGGUGAGGAGGGAAGGGUAGGAGACGAUGAGACGGAGGUCGAUGUAGACGGGGGAGUAGAUUCCGGAUUUGAGUUUGAAGUUGCCGAAUUUGACGGCGCCGAUCUCGUGGAGCUGCAGGAUUAGGGAUUCCAUCGCUGACAACAUUGUGAGGGGACUUGGCAGUGACUGAGUGCACAGUGGAGAGUGUGUGUGCGCUUUUUAUACUUUAGGUUUUGUUUUUUUUUGUUUUAUGGGAUUUUUGAUCAAUAAUCACAAAUUCUUUUUAACAUAAUUUAAAAUCAUUAAAAAAAUCAAAUUUUAGCAAAGAUGAAAUUCAUACAAUUAAUUAAAAAUUAUAUAAAUUUGGAAAAACAAUUUUUUUUUAUGUUUAAAACUAUAAAAACAUAAAUCUUGUUAUUAUGUUGUUGAGUUUAAACUUUUUAAGCAUGGAUUUAUGACAUAUCUGGUUCACAUUUAUAUUUGAUUUUACAUGUUAUUAUAGAAUAACUUAUUUUGCAACUUACUUUUAAUUCAUACUCUGAAUUAGAAACUAGUUUUUUUUAGAUUUUAAUGAAUUAACAUUUUUUUUAAGGCAUAAGAAAAUUCAAAUAUCUAUUAGAAUUCUUCUAUGUUGGAAACAAAACUGAAGAAUACAUUAAAAUUUGUAUAAAACAAGUAGGUCUGCUUCGACUAUGCACAGAGCUUCCCACCUUUUGUAUUCUUUGACUAACAGAUGUUUUUUUUUGGUGUUCGGAUUCCUUAUCUGCAGGAGAACACGAUGGGUUGAAGAAGAAACAGGUUGUGAAAGAUCACAUACAGUAAGAGCCUCUUGGGUCUUUUGUCACACGCAUAACUGAAGAAAAGAUAUUCUUGCAGUGUGAGACAUUUUUACUUCUCCUGAAAAUAGACUGAUUGUUACGAGUCUAGUAGUUAUGUUUGUCCUUGGUGAUAUGCUUACAAAUAUAAUAAGAGAUCAAAUCUGGUUUUGAAAAGAAAAUUGUAAGAGCAAACUACAUGAGUUUUCCAAAAUGUUUUCUCAUGGAAAUACGUGUAAUAAGAAAGGGUAUUCAACAAUUAAAAAAAACAAAAAGAAAACAUUUAAUUACAUGAAAGGAGUAAACAGGAGAUUGUUUCUAGCAAUGCAGAGAGAUGUUGCCUACGCUGCAGAUUUCCUCAGGCUGCUCUCUAACACCGCAAACCUAAACUGAUAGUUGACAAAAGCAACACAUGAACAUUAGUUACCAAUGAAUCUGCAUACAAGCCCCUAUAUGAACGAAUAUGAAAUGGCAUGGGACGCAAUAUUAUAUACCCUUUCUAUACUUCACAACUUUCUUUUGUUUCCUUGGGAUGCUUCAUUAACCCUCUCACCAACAGUGCUACUGGAUCCUGAGUUGGAUGCAUACCCUAAAGCAGUUGAACCUGCAGGUACAUCUUCCUCUUUUGCUUUCUGCUUAUUCAUGUGACUCUCUCUUGUGCUAGGAAAACUCCCUUUUACUUCAGUUCCCAUCUUCGAAGAAGAUGGUGAUUCUAGUCCUUCCGUAUGCUUUGCCGCAGACAUAUCAAAAGGCCUAUGAAAGAGCAAAUGAGCCACAGUUCUGUCUGUGGGAUUGGUCACAGUUUCGGUGUCUAGCAUCCCUGCAUAUCUGAAAGAACAAAAACCAAGAGCUAGCUAUGUAAACCACAUACUGUAUUGGUUUUGAUGAUGAAGUUUUAUUUAAAAUGCAAUCACGUAACAAAGAACUGCGACAGCACAUGAAAAGAGUGUUAAUGCAUAUGCUUGCAGCAUUCAGAUGGUCUUUACUGCGUAAAUUGAUUCAUUCAGAACAAUGGACAUAUGCUAAUCAUGGAUAAAUAGUUUUUCCUAUCUCACACUUAUCAUACAUAAAAGGCUACCCCACAUUCACAAAACUGUAUGUGUGUAGUUCACAUGAUCUAACUAAGAACCAUAUAUAUAUAUACCAUAUUGAUUAAUAUGCAUAGAUUUGCUUACCUAUAUCUGGAUUUUUCUUGAGGAAUAACCUCCUGGUCAUCCUGGCUAGUCUUAUUACUGUGGGGUGUAUCACUAGUGUGAUGUCUCUGACCUGCGCUAUCAGCCAAACGGAAUAAGCUAUCCCUUAUACAAGUCCUUGUUUCCAUAUCUAACUGCAGGUCAAUAAGUAGUAUUAGUUCCUUCCAACGUAAAGGCCAAUACAAAGUACUGUAGGAUUAUGGCUUCAUCUUUUUUUAACAUAACAAACCAGUUGAGGACCCUUGCUACAACAUCUUAAAGCCGAUAAAGAACCGAGAAUUCUGAUGGAUUAUCAACAGCAGCAGCAGCAAAGUUUCCAGAAUCAUCUAGUUCCAGAGAUGAAUUGGGAUCAAAGGAAGGUAUUGCGGUUAGCCCUUGAAGACUAGUUUUGUCGACAAGCUGAGUAAUGGACUGAUCUGCUACAGGAACUUGGUGACGAAAUUGCUGCUGUUGUCUCUGAAUAGCAAGCAUCGCCUGCAUUUGCUGUCUGCGCCUAAGUUUUUCUAGUUUUUCCUGCGGCGUCAUUGUUGAAGGUCGUGCAGAGGCAGCAUCCGUUACCAUGUUUGCAGAGAUGGCAGUAGUAGGAUUGUAGGAAGGAUGCAUCAGCUGAUUCUUGUUAACAUCAGGACGUUGGAAGGCUGAAACUACAGGCACAGCA